CGUGGACAAGAUCUCCCAGCUCCAGAGGACAUAUUUACAUCUCAAGGCAUCUCUUCCUGCAUUGGAUGCAUCUCAAAAUCCCAUAAGGGAAGAAGAUGCCGAGACAGAACGAGGAGUACAUAAGGUUUUGGGGGGAGUAACACCUGGGAGGAAAUGUGAGGAAGCAAGAAUGGUCAUGAGGGAGGUACCCGAUCAGGAUACGGAGCAAGAGCACCUGUUGGAUCCGAGUCCUCAUCAGGAGGAAAUGGCCAGGUCUUUGUUCCAUGGCCUUGCUCACUUACUGGCUAGUGCCACUCAGAACCGUGUGUGACUUCGGCUCAACAGUUGCUCACAGAGGAGGCUGUGAGCUAGCUACCCUCUCCAUCGCUGGGCAGGGAGUCCCAUCUUACAGGGGUAGCUGGGUAGCGUAUCUGUAUCUGCCACACCCCACCUUCCCCCUGACUCUGUGAGGCGAUUUUACCCUUCGUGGUUCUUCAUGAAGACAACAGAACUCUAUAAAUGACAGUGUGUGAAUUGCCCUUGGGAAAUAGGCCAUCUCUCAACCAGCAAAAUUAGAAAGAAAGUUAUAACCAUACGUCAGUAUAGUUGAAUCAGCUAAAAGGUGAGGUGCCCCUAGGAUAUGGGACUGCGUUUCAUUUAAACAGAAUCUCCUUCUGCAGAGGGAGCGCCUUGCGAAUCUGAAAUAAGAUCAGAGAAGUGCUUGCUGCCGCAGUCUGGCCAUCCUCUGCCGAUGAACGUGAACCCUCGUGAAUAGAUCUGAGGAUCAACAGCCAUCAAUAACCACAACUCCUCUCAUCUCCUUGGAGACCACAGACCAUACAGGUACCUCUCUGUUUUGUUUUCUAAAGGCCACGACUUAACUGUGCCAUGGAGAAUUGAGGGUUAAGUCACCUCUUCUGUGUUGUGUGAUCCUGAGUCCUUGAGCAUAAGAAAGAGAAAUCAAGUCUGGAUUAACUGAAACAGGAAUGAUAUUUGUUGGCAGGGUUUAGUGGCGUUCACAGAAUAGACAGGAAGGCGGGAGAGGGAGACUUGGGAAAAAGCAGAAACUAGAGCAGGUCUGAGGAUCCAGGGAACAGUAAGCACCAUCGAGAUCAUGUCUUAGGAAGAACUCGUUCAAGACAUGUUGUGGCUACUACCGGUGGUCUAGCUGACCUCCUUCUGCUGUUACCACCAUUUCUGCUGAUUAAAGUCUUUCUUUGUGUCCCUCCAUCCUGCGCCAUGAUCAAGAGACUCCGUGUCCUGCAAAGGAGCAUCUGAUUGGAUAAGCGGAGGUUACAGCCCACGCUGCCAGAACUCAGAAGUUCCCUCUUCAGGCUUCUAUAGGAGGAGGCUCUUCCCCAGUCCAGAGGACAUGGGCCUUCUGCUGAAGAUAAGCUCACAACAUCAAAGGAGAGAAAAUGAUAAACUAUGAGGAAAUUCCCUCAGUGGAUAUUUUGCCUUAGAGCAAAAAUGGUAUCUCAGCGUUGGGCUUGCCCCUACAUUCAUUCAUGUUGGUACUUUUUAUUUAAGUUUUUAUAGUAGCUAGGUUCCCCUUUGCCUAAAAACCCAAGGGAAAAAACCCAAUUCUUUAAUUUACUCACAUCCUGCUAGGCUUUCUCAGGCUAUUCAUUUUCUUACCCCGCUUCAUCUUCAGCUGCAAGGAAGCUGGAGUUUGGAGGAAAGGGGGAGGCAGGUCAACCGGAGGUUGUCCUGACCUCAGAGGGAGAGCCCCCCUGUCGUCAACACCAGGGCUACCCUAGGCUAUUGCAACAUGUCUGCAGGCUCAAUUCUAGAAGAAAAUACCAUUUACUUCCCAACGUGCUGGGGCUCAGUGGGGCAUAAAGAAUAAAUGAAGUAAAUUAACUGA